GUCGGGAGUCUCCCUCCCCCUUCUCAUGGGUCGGAUUGUAUCCCAAGCCCAGUAAAAUGUGGGCCUUUACACAAAUAUUUCGGACUAUUUUAAAACCUUAAGAACUUGGUAACCGUUGAGGCAAAAAUCUGAUCCAAGCCAAAUUGUUGAUUCCGAGAUGGAAGUAGGAUAUCCGUUUCAUUUCACAUCAAUUGGUCAGA
rnacentral:lncRNA from 1 species